rnacentral:rRNA from 1 species
UACGUAGGGGGCAAGCGUUGUCCGGAUUUAUUGGGCGUAAAGAGCGUGUAGGCGGCCAAACAGGUCAGCUGUGAAAACUCGAGGCUCAACCUCGAGACGUCGGUUGAAACCGUUUGGCUAGAGUUCGGCAGGGGAGACUGGAAUUCCUGGUGUAGCGGUGAAAUGCGUAGAGAUCGGGAGGAACAUCUGUGGCGAAGGCGACUACCUGGACCAGCACUGACACUGAGGCACGAAAGCGUGGGGAGCAAACAGG